rnacentral:lncRNA from 1 species
GCUCCAUCACUUGGCAUGUACCAACCUCAUUAAGUCUACACACACUUAGCAUAGAGGUUAGUACUAGGGUUUCAUCAAUUAUCCAAAACCAAACUAGGGCUUUCACUUGCAGAGCAACAUCUAGAGACAUCGGUCUUGCAUUUUUUUCUUCCAAUGGAUGGUUGUCAAAUAGGUCUAUUGGUCUUUUUUAGUCAAUAUUUUUAUUUUAUUCUUUUGUGUGGAUCGCUGUAAGAUGUUAUUUUUACACUGUUGGUAGAUGAAGCCGGUAUGGACUAUUCUUUAUUAAAAAAACAUCCUCGGUGGCUUCGAUCGCUCAUUUGAGGCCUUAUAUAUAGCAUUUUGUUACGUGGACCAUGGCAAAAGGAGAACAGUCAGGCGAUACGGCGUGCCUAGUGUAUUACUCGUGUGUGAAUCAAUAUAUAUGGGUGAGAAGAUUUAUUUUGUGCAGGAUAUAACUCUGGCAUAAUCUAAUAUUUUGAGUUCACUCUCAUCGUAC